rnacentral:tRNA from 1 species
AUCGGAGGAGACGGCGACGGGUUAGCUCAUAACCCAGAGGUCGCAGGUUCGAAUCCUGUCCCCGCUACCA